GAUCCUGGCUCAGGAUGAACGCUGGCGGCGUGCCUAACACAUGCAAGUCGAGCGAAGCGGUUUUAAGGAAGUUUUCGGAUGGAAUUAAAACUGACUGAGCGGCGGACGGGUGAGUAACGCGUGGGUAACCUGCCUCAUACAGGGGGAUAACAGUUAGAAAUGGCUGCUAAUACCGCAUAAGCACACAGCUUCGCAUGGAGGCAGUGUGAAAACUACCGGUGGUAUGAGAUGGACCCGCGU
rnacentral:rRNA from 1 species